UUGGUCAGUAUGCGCUUAAUGCUCAUAGU
rnacentral:piRNA from 1 species